GUGACCUCAAAUCAGGUAGGACUACCCGCUGAACUUAAGCAUAUCAAUAAGCGGAGGAAAAGAAACUAACAAGGAUUCCCCUAGUAACUGCGAGUGAAGCGGGAAAAGCUCAAAUUUAAAAUCUGUCAGUCUUUGACUGUCCGAGUUGUAAUCUAGAGAAGUGUUAUCCGCGCUGGACCGUGUACAAGUCUCCUGGAAUGGAGCGUCAUAGAGGGUGAGAAUCCCGUCUUUGACACGGACUGCCAGGGCUUUGUGAUGCGCUCUCAAAGAGUCGAGUUGUUUGGGAAUGCAGCUCAAAAUGGGUGGUAAAUUCCAUCUAAAGCUAAAUAUUGGCGAGAGACCGAUAGCGAACAAGUACCGUGAGGGAAAGAUGAAAAGAACUUUGGAAAGAGAGUUAAACAGUACGUGAAAUUGCUGAAAGGGAAACGCUUGAAGUCAGUCGCGUUGUCCAGGGAUCAACCUUGCUUUUGCUUGGUGUACUUUCUGGUUGACGGGUCAGCAUCAAUUUUGACUGUUGGAAAAAGAUCAAGGGAAUGUGGCAUCUUUAGAUGUGUUAUAGCCCUUGGUUGCAUACAAUGGUUGGGAUUGAGGAACUCAGCA
rnacentral:rRNA from 1 species